GACAGAGGAUGCAAGCGUUAUCCGGAAUGAUUGGGCGUAAAGCGUCUGUAGGUGGCUUAAAAAGUCUCCUGUCAAAGAUCAGGGCUUAACCCUGGGCCGGCAGGAGAAACUCUUAGGCUAGAGUUUGGUAGGGGCAGAGGGAAUUCCCGGUGGAGCGGUGAAAUGCGUAGAGAUCGGGAGGAACACCAAAGGCGAAAGCACUCUGCUGGGCCAUAACUGACACUGAGAGACGAAAGCGAGGGGAGCAAAAGGGAUUAGAUACCCCUGUAGUCCUCGCCGUAAACGAUGGAUACUAGAUGUUGGAUAGGUUAAAGCAUUCAGUAUCGUAGCUAACGCGUGAAGUAUCCCGCCUGGGGAGUAUGCUCGCAAGAGUGAA
rnacentral:rRNA from 1 species